AUAUCUUUCUCGUCCUUUUGGCUAAGAUAAGGUGUAAUAUUUGUUCUUAUCAGUUUAAUAUCUGAUAUGUGGACCAUAUGUUCACUCUAAUAUUAAAUUUAUUUUUUAUUUUACGGGUAUCAAAUAUAAUUGUGUCAUUGUAACGCACGGGCAUUGUACUAGUGUGUGUUAAUUGAUC
rnacentral:snRNA from 1 species